UGUAUAUAUAUAUGUACGUACAAACACUUAUAUAUAUAUAUAUAUAUAUAUAUAUAUAUAUACAUACGUACAUGUAUACAUAAAUAUAUAUUUUUAGAGACCUAUGUUUUAAGGCGUAAUGAUUUUGAAAAAUGUUAAGAAGAUUUUCAUACUGGGAGAAAGCAUAAACACGAACACAUUUGGAAUAAAUUCUCUUUUUGGAAUCCAAGCAAGAUGUAUGAAAAACAAAAGAAGAGGGUUGAAAGAACAGGCAAGAAAAAAACCAUUAGAUAUUGAAAAAAAGAUAAGGAAUCCAUAUAAUUAUGAAAAAAAAAUGCAUUUUGAUAAUUUAACAAAAGGAGAAUUAUAUGUACCUGAAUCAUGUAAAGGUAAAAAGUUAGCUAUGUUAUGUAACCGAUUAUAUUAUUUUAAUAUAAAUGAUGACGAACUAUUAGAUAGAUAUGCUCAAAGAGCUAUAGUUAUUGCUAACACUAUGGGUACUAAAGAAAUGUCACUAAUACUAAAUACUAUGCGAAAAUUUAACUAUAAAAAUAUAAAAUUAUUAGAAACAUUUUCAAAAUAUAUUCCUAGCAAAUUGCAUAAAUCAGUUCCCCAGGAUAUAUCAUUAAUUUUAAAUGCUUAUGCUCAUUUUUAUUAUGUAGAUAAAAAUUUAUUUACUAGAAUUUGUGAAGAGAUACCACAUAAAAUACCAUACUUUCAAGCUAGUCAUAUAUCAAGUGUUAUUAACGCAUUUUAUAGAUUAAAAAUUAAAGAUCAAAUUAUAAUCAAUGAUCUGGUUGAUGAAAUAAUAGACAGAGUUGAAGAAUUUGAUAACAAGUCAUUAACAAAUACUAUUAAUAGUUUAGUUAAUUUAAAUUAUAAUAAUAUGAAUAAACAAAUUAUAUGGAAUAAAUUAAUCGAAGCUGUUAAACAAUUGCAUGAUCAGUUAAGUCUUUUGGAACUUACUUUAAUAACUAAUGCUUUUUGCAAAAAAAAAUUAAAAAACAAAAAUGUGUAUAUAUGUUUGAAUGAUAUUUUGUGUGAUCGUAUAUUUGUAAGGGGAGCUUUAUCGGUCGGUGAUGGUGUUAGUGCUAUUGGCGACAACAGCAAUAAAAACGGGAAUGAACAUAGCAGUAGCAUUAGUAGCAGUAGCUGUAGCAACGAAAACAGCAAAAGUGAUAACGCAUAUCUUUUGUGCAUAAUUUUCAACGCUUUUGCGAAAAUUAAGUUCUAUUCUAAAGACUUAGUCGAUUUUAUAGUGGCUUAUUUUUCAAAAGAAGAAAAUUAUCACAGUUUAAACACUCAACAUUAUAGUCAAUUAAUUUAUUCUUUUUCUACUUUUAAAUUACAAAAUGAUAAUUUUAUUAAUAUAUUUCUUAAAAUGGCUUCUGAAAGAAUUAAAAAACAAAAAGACAUCAAUGAACAAACAUUAUCAACAAUUGCUUAUUCUUUAGCAAAAUUAAAAACUAGACAAACUGAUUUUUUAAUUUUUUUAUCAUCUUAUAUUAUUAAUAAUAAAAUUAUUUUAUCACCACAAAGUUUAUGUUUAAUUUGUUAUAGCUAUUCCAAAUUAAAAAUAAAAUCCGAAAUAUUUUUUUAUAUUUUAUCUAUACAACUUUUUGAAAACAUGAAUAAAUUCACAAAACAAGGACUAUCUAUUUUAUUAAGUUCCUAUGCAAAUUUAAAAAUAUUUAAUGUUAAACUAUUUUCUUUAAUUAAUAAAUAUUUAAAUUUAUAUUCUGAUACAUUUACCAAUAUGGAAUGUAUCUUAAUUUGUAAGCAUUUUGAAUAUGCAAUAAAAUGUAUAGACACAGAAAUAAACAAGAAAAACAAUAAUAUACCUGUAGUUACUACUAUAACUGCUCCUAUUGUUUCUAACGACAAGAGUAAAACACUAGUUGCUGAAAUUAAUAAUACAAAAGAAAAUAUGGAAAAAUUUGUGUGUGUUUUAAAAAACAAAAUAAAUAAAUUUGAUAAUGUUAAAAAUUCAACUAAACAAAGUAAAGUCAAUUCAAGUGUGGAUAACAAAGAGAUCGUAAUAAAAGACAAUGACUAUAAUCAACUUGAUGAAAAAGAAGGUAAUGACGAAAGAGAAGCACAAGAUGAUUCUUUCUUUUCAAUAUUUGAACAAAAUGAUAUUCUUAAAGAUGAUGAAAGUGGUGAUGAACAUGAGGAAAAAUAUAGUGAUAGACAAAUGUACGAUAUGUAUGUAUCUGUCCACAAUAACACCGACAAUAAUGAUAGUAUUAAAAAACGAGAUAGCCAUUUGGUAAAUCCAUAUAAUGAACAAACAAAUACAUCAAAAAACAUGGAUAAAAAUAACAUUAAAGAAAAAAAAGACACUUUAAAAAUCUAUGAAAGUAUGUUUUUAGUUGAUACAAAAAAAAAAAAUAAUAUCCCUGGUAUAAAACACGAUUCUUUAAUUAAUGAAAAAUUUUGUUCGAUCUUAAAUAAAGAGCAUGAAAAAAUGGAACGAAAAAAAUAUGUGUCACAAACAGGACAUAUGUCAAACAGAACAAUGGAAAAAGAAAGUAAUGAUAAUUUAAAAAAAAAAAGUUUAUUCAAAUUAAUGACUUCAAGUAAACCAUUAAAAACAAAUUAUGGCGAAAAAAAUUAUGGCGAAAAAAAUUAUGGCGAAACAAAUUAUGACGAAACAAAUUAUGGCGAAACAAAUUAUGGCGAAACAAAUUAUGACGAAACAAAUUAUGGCGAAACAAAUUAUGGCGAAACAAAUUAUGACGAAAAAAAUUAUGGCAAAACAAAUUAUGGCAAAAAAAAAUAUGGCGAAACAAAUUAUGACGAAACAAAUUAUGGAGAAAAAAAUUAUGGCGAAACAAAUUAUGGCGAAAAAAAUUAUGGCGAAAAAAAUUAUGGCGAAACAAAUUAUGGCGAAAAAAAUUAUGGCGAAACAAAUUAUGGCGAAACAAAUUAUGACGAAACAAAUUAUGACGAAACAAAUUAUGACGAAACAAAUUUAAUAAAAUCGGCGGAACAGACUGAAACUGAAUUUAUAAAAGCUUACGUAAGUGAACAAACAAAAGCUAGCGAACAAAAUGAACCAACUGGAAGAAAAUUAAAAAGAAGAAAAAAAAAAAUUCAGCAAAUUUUGUCCAAAAAGUAUGAACUGAUAGACGACAUUACAGCUUUAAAGAAAAAAUGGGAUAAAUUUUACAAACAUAGGGUAGUCUAAUUUUUGUACGUGUGGUAAUGUACUUGUGUAAACAUAAAUAUACGCAAUACAUAUUUACUACAAUAUUGAGGAUUAAAAGGUGAUAAAAAUUUUAACUUUGAUUUAUUUUUUUUUUUGUUACAGCAUCGUUUUUUCAUAAAAUAUAUGUUUUGUAUAUAUCCAAUUACUGCUUAGCUCGUCUGUUUUUUUUUUUUUGAUUUUUUUUUAAAGCUUAUAUGUUAUUGCAAAGCUUUUUACAAUAAAAAAAGAGAAAAAUUUGGAUAAAUACGAUGG
rnacentral:lncRNA from 1 species